GGAUCAUUACACAAAAAAUAUGAAGGCUGCAACCGCCAGUUUUGGCGGGGAAGCUGAAUUAUUUUUCACCCAUGUCUUUUGCGCACUUGUUGUUUCCUGGGCGGGUUCGCCCGCCACCAGGACCACACCAUAAACCUUUUUUAUGCAGUUGCAAUCAGCGUCAGUAUAACAAAUGUAAAUCAUUUACAACUUUCAACAACGGAUCUCUUGGUUCUGGCAUCGAUGAAGAACGCAGCGAAAUGCGAUACGUAGUGUGAAUUGCAGAAUUCAGUGAAUCAUCGAAUCUUUGAACGCACAUUGCGCCCUUUGGUAUUCCAAAGGGCAUGCCUGUUCGAGCGUCAUUUGUACCCUCAAGCUUUGCUUGGUGUUGGGCGUUUGUCUUUGGCUUUUGCCCAAAGACUCGCCUUAAAACGAUUGGCAGCCGGCCUACUGGUUUCGGAGCGCAGCACAUUUUUGCGCUUGCAACUAGCUAAAGAGGCCAGCAAUCCAUCAAGACCUUCUUCUCACUUUUGACCUCGGAUCAGGUAGGGAUACCCGCUGAACUUAAGCAUAUCAAUAAGCGGAGGAAAAGAAACCAACAGGGAUUGCCCUAGUAACGGCGAGUGAAGCGGCAACAGCUCAAAUUUGAAAUCUGGCUCUUUCAGAGUCCGAGUUGUAAUUUGCAGAGGGCGCUUUGGCUUUGGCAGCGGUCCAAGUUCCUUGGAACAGGACGUCACAGAGGGUGAGAAUCCCGUACGUGGUCGCUAGCUAUUGCCGUGUAAAGCCCCUUCGACGAGUCGAGUUGUUUGGGAAUGCAGCUCUAAAUGGGAGGUAAAUUUCUUCUAAAGCUAAAUAUUGGCCAGAGACCGAUAGCGCACAAGUAGAGUGAUCGAAAGAUGAAAAGCACUUUGGAAAGAGAGUCAAACAGCACGUGAAAUUGUUGAAAGGGAAGCGCUUGCAGCCAGACUUGCUUGCAGUUGCUCAUCCGGGCUUUUGCCCGGUGCACUCUUCUGCAGGCAGGCCAGCAUCAGUUUGGGCGGUGGGAUAAAGGUCUCUGUCACGUACCUCUCUUCGGGGAGGACUUAUAGGGGAGGCGACAUACCACCAGCCUGGACUGAGGUCCGCG
rnacentral:rRNA from 1 species